UACGGAAGGUGCAAGCGUUGUCCGGAUUGACUGGGUGUAAAGGGCGCGUAGGCGGAGAUGUGUGUCGGGAGUGAAAUCGUGCGGCUUAACCGUACAAUUGCUUUCGAAACUACAUCCCUUGAGUACAGAAGGGGUUGAUGGAAUACCUGGUGUAGCGGUGGAAUGCGUAGAUAUCAGGUAGAACACCGGAGGCGAAGGCGGUCAACUGGUCUGUAACUGACGCUGAGGCGCGAAAGUGUGGGGAGCAAACAGG
rnacentral:rRNA from 1 species